AUACGGCCAUAUCAUGUCGAAACACCGGUUCCUGUACGAUCACCGAAGUUAAGCAAUGUUGAGCCAGGUCAGUACCUAGCUUGG